rnacentral:rRNA from 1 species
CCUACGGGGGCUGCAGUGGGGAAUAUUGGACAAUGGGCGAAAGCCUGAUCCAGCCAUGCCGCGUGUGUGAAGAAGGCCUUCGGGUUGUAAAGCACUUUCAGUGGGGAAGAAAGCCUUGGGGCUAAUACCCUCGAGGAAGGACAUCACCCACAGAAGAAGCACCAGCUAACUCCGUGCCAGCAGCCGCGGUAAUACGGAGGGUGCGAGCGUUAAUCGGAAUUACUGGGCGUAAAGCGCGCGUAGGCGGUCUGAUAAGCCGGUUGUGAAAGCCCCGGGCUCAACCUGGGAACGGCAUCCGGAACUGUCAGGCUAGAGUGCAGGAGAGGAAGGUAGAAUUCCCGGUGUAGCGGUGAAAUGCGUAGAGAUCGGGAGGAAUACCAGUGGCGAAGGCGGCCUUCUGGACUGACACUGACGCUGAGGUGCGAAAGCGUGGGUAGCAAACAGGAUUAGAUACCCUUGUAGUC